rnacentral:rRNA from 1 species
UACGAAGGGGGCUAGCGUUGCUCGGAAUCACUGGGCGUAAAGGGUGCGUAGGCGGGGCUUUAAGUCAGGGGUGAAAUCCUGGAGCUCAACUCCAGAACUGCCUUUGAUACUGAAGAUCUUGAGUUCGGGAGAGGUGAGUGGAACUGCGAGUGUAGAGGUGAAAUUCGUAGAUAUUCGCAAGAACACCGGUGGCGAAGGCGGCUAUCUGGACCGACAUUGACGCUGAGGCGCGAAAGCGUGGGGAGCAAACAGG